CCUACGGGAUGCAGCAGUGGGGAAUAUUGGGCAAUGGGCGCAAGCCUGACCCAGCAACUCCGCGUGAAGGAAGAAGGCUUUCGGGUUGUAAACUACUUUUAAGAGGGAAGAGCAGAAGACGGUACCUCUUGAAUAAGCCACGGCUAACUACGUGCAAGCAGCCGCGGUAAUACGUAGGUGGCAAGCGUUGUCCGGAUUUACUGGGUGUAAAGGGCGGGUAUCCGGGCUGACAAGUCUGAUGUGAAAUUCCGGGGCUUAACCCCGGACCUGCAUUUGAAACUGUUGGUCGUGAGUAUCGGAGAGGCAGGCGGAAUUCCAAGUGUAGCGGUGAAAUGCGUAGAUAUUAGGAGGAACACCAGUGGCGAAGGCGGCCUGCUGGACGACAACUGACGGUGAGGCGCGAAAGCGUGGGGAGCAAACAGGAUUAGAUACCCGGGUAGUC
rnacentral:rRNA from 1 species